GUGACCGUGGUGAGCUGUGUCGCCCUCAGCCCGUGUCCGUAAGUACAGAUGACAAAGUGUAGUACCUGUCAAUCCUCCAUGUAACGGACAGUGAACCCUCCAUGUAACGGACAGUGAACCCUCCAUAUAACGGACUGAAUCCUCCAUAUAACGGACAGUGAACCCUCCAUGUAACGGACUGAAUCCUCCAUAUAACGGACAGUGAACCCUUUAUAUAACGGAGUGAACCCUUUAUAUAACGGACUGACCCUCCAUAUAACGGACAGUGAACCCUCUAUAACGGACAGGAAAACCUGCAUAUAAUGAACUCUGUAUAAUCUGUGCUGGUGGAGGUUACACAGCUAACGGACACCUCGAUAUAACGGACAACUUUUCACCUCUACUUUCUUAGGUUGAGGUUUCACAUCCUGUCAUGGCCGCACCGAACUGUCCCCUGUCAUGGCCACAUUAAACUGUUCCCUGUCAUGGCCGCACCGAACUGUCCCCUGUCAUGGCCACAUUAAACUGUUCCCUGUCAUGGCCGCACCGAACUGCCCCCUGUCAUGGCCACAUUAAACUGCCCCCUGUCAUGGCCACAUUAAACUGCCCCCUGUCAUGGCCACGUCUGUUUUUGCCAUGGCCACAUCUAUAUGUCCCGUCGUGGCCACGUCUGUUUCCUGUCAUGGCCAUGUCUAGUAUCAUGGUCACAUAACUGUUUCCUGUCAUGGCCACAUCUGUUUCCUGUAAUGGCCAUGUCUAGUAUCAUGGUCACAUGUAACUGUUUCAUGUCAUGGCCACAUCUGUUUCCUGUCAUGGCCAUGUCUAGUAUCAUGGUCACAUGUAACUGUUUCCUGUCAUGGCCAUGUCUAGUAUCAUGGUCACAUAACUGUUUCCUGUCAUGGCCAUGUCGGUUUCUAAUCACGGUCAGGUGUGGACGAACGCUGACAACGUAAGUACAUUUUAGAGGUAAAUCAAACACGUAUUAGACAGAACUGAACUGGGAGCCGCCGUUCCUCCCACUCUGCCUCAGUCAACACCAGUCCCGUCCACUAGUCCACACUGUAACACUUGCAUCUCACUAUUUGUGUUGUGUACUGCUGUUUAUUCGAGUGUUUUUCGGAUUUUAUCGUCGCCAACACCUACAGCAACAAGUACCUGUGUAGUACCUCAUGACACGAGUGAGUCCUGCCUGAAGAGAACCUGUAUCUGUAUCUGUAGGGAAAGAGAGAGAGAGAGAGGUUGGUCAAAGGGCCAUUACACCACCAUCGCCGUCCCGGACUCCUGCCCCAUUUCGCCUGUGUCAACUAAAUGGGGUCAAAGAACAGUACCCCGAGAGUGAUACAAGAAUCGUUACAAAGGGAUACUAGACCGCCUGAACCACCACCUCCAACAUUACCACCACCUCCAACAU